rnacentral:tRNA from 1 species
CUUCCGUCCCAGAGCAUAUCCAAUCUCAAAAAUGUUUUGAACAAAUAUCCAAAUAUUAUUAUUUAAUAGACA